rnacentral:rRNA from 1 species
AAAAUUAAAAGGACGCGGUAACCUUGACCGUGAUAAUGUAGCAUAAUCAUUCGCCAUUUAAUUGAUGGAUAGUAUGAAUGGUUGAACGAAUAUUCCACUGUCUUAAAAAGAAAUAACAAAAAAUUAGAAUAAUAGUAAAGAUUCUAUUUAAAAUUGUAAGACGAAAAGACCCUAUAGAGCUUAACUAUAAAUUUUUUAGGUAAUUUAUUAUAAAAGAAAAUUUGGUAGUUUAGUUGGGGCGACUGUCUUUUAAAAAUAACAAAGACAAGCAAAAUUUAUAAUAAAAUUUAUUGUAUAAUAAAUAAAUUUAACAAUUACAAAAGUAGGCUAUAAUGACCCGUUAUUAUUAAAUAAAAAAAAAUAACGAUCAAUAAAUAAAAGCUACCUUAGGGAUAACAGGAUAAUUUUAUUUUAGAGAUCUAAUCGAAAAUAAAGUUUGUCACCUCUAUGUUGAAUUAAGA